UAUUAUACCAACGUUCGUGAUGUACUACUAUUGAAGGCGGCUAUAUCAAUGCAGGGGGCCAUAACUCUAAAAUUAGGAUGCGGAGCCAGACGAAAAAUAGGAGGUGCGCAAGUUCAUAUCAUGAACUUAUGUACGAAGAAAGGAAGUAACGGCAUUUACUGACAACAUGAUUUUGACCAUAAAGUGCCAAACUACGGAGCCAGUUAGACAUUUUCUACAAGUGUGCCGAGCGUCCAUUUCGAUGUUUGUAAAAUGGCGGCGGAUCAACUUUGGAACUAUUUUUAUGUUUUAU